CAUCACCGAGAGAGACAAAGAAGGAGGUGGUCGAGGGAAUCUGAGAAGACGCACAAGGUUUGUGUCCAAUACAGUCCACACCUUGCGCUACUCAGGUCUGCUCGUGCCCUCCCAUGAUAUCAGCUCUCUUGCUUCAAUGUGGGAA
rnacentral:pre_miRNA from 1 species